CUGCUGAUCAGCCACACCAGCUCUAAGUCCCACAAGUACCGAGACUAUGACCCUUGUACCCUGUGGUUCAGUGUUCUCCAAAGUUAGCAAGUGCCAGAAGCACCAGGAGGAGCUGCUAAAGCAGAGCUUGCAGGGCCCCACACCCAGAGUGUCUGAUUCAGGAUUUCUGAGAUAGGACUUGAAAUUUUUCAUUUUCCACAGGAUGCAGAUACUGCUGGUCCAGAGGCCACACUUGGAGAACCACUGGUGUAGUGCAACCUGCUGAUAGCAUGCCUGGAGCCCCUGCACCCACGCGGGUGCACCCAUCCCUCAGCUACUGUGGAUAUUGGCUGCUAAUGGCUCCCAGCUGCCCCUCUGCUGGGGUCUCACCAUCUGCUGAUGGGAAGCACCUUGCCCUGGAGGUUACCCACCCCCCAACAGCGCACAGCUGAAAAAUUCCCACACCCUCCAAUAUUGGAGCAGAUGAGUAUGGAGACAACUGAGGAACCCAGAGUGUCUCCCAGCUGGAGACACCAAUUCCAAAAACAGGACUCCCAAAUCAUUGUCUCUUAGUAUCAAGAUCUCUCCUUCCAACAGUGGAGCCCAGGUA
rnacentral:lncRNA from 10 species